CCCAAAAUUGAAAAAUGUUUUUUUUUUCUCUUUCUAAUUUAGAUUCAGAAUUUAGAAUACUCAGUUCUGGGAUUAUUGAUGAAUCUGUUCAGGUUUGAUCUUUCAACUUUGUAACACGUUCUGCAAUUUUUUGACAACAUUAUUAAUGAAAUGAGCUUUCAGUUUCCCUUGACUAUGGAGGUUUGGCUACACAAGUAUACCUUGUUGCAGAAUAUGGGAAAGAUGGGAAAAAAAAGAUUUUUAUGAUUUUGUUUUUAUGCAAUUCUAAUCAAUGACCAUGUUUUUCAGAUGCAGAGAGAUUGAACUUUGAUGACUUGUUCUGAAUUUUAUUGAACUUUUAGUUGCAACACAGAACAAAUCAGGAAGAAACUAGAUUUCUAAUGUCUAUCAAGAUGAAGAAAACUGAUAAUAAAAGCUGAAGAGGGCAAUGCUAGUUGAUACAUUGAAUUGUAUUGAGUAUAUUGAACUGUAAUUACAAGAAAUAUUUAUGAGAUCCUAUUACCUAAUUGUGCUGUUUCAGAUUACUAAAACGAGUAAAUUAAUUUGUCUCAUAAAUCUGUAAAUCAGACUGUGGUAAUAGUUGUCAAUUCGUUUGACAUAAACCAGUAAAUAGAUAAAUCAUUUCACAUAAA